rnacentral:rRNA from 1 species
UACGUAGGGGCCUAGCGUUGUCCGGAUUUAUUGGGCGUAAAGAGCGUGUAGGCGGCCCGAUAAGUCCGCUGUGAAAGUCCAGGGCUCAACCCUGGAAUGCCGGUGGAAACUGUCGGGCUAGAGUUCGGAAGAGGUGAGUGGAAUUCCUGGUGUAGCGGUGAAGUGCGCAGAUAUCGGGAGGAACACCAGUGGCGAAGGCGGCCUUCUGGACCAGUACUGACGCUCAUGCACGAAAGCGUGGGGAGCAAACAGG